AUGAAUCAUUCUAAGGAAAUCAUUGGUACAACUAAGCUUCAUAGAG
rnacentral:lncRNA from 1 species